UGCAGAGAGACUGAAAACGCUGACUCGUACCGCUCUUUACUACCUGUUAUUAAAACAGCGUUGCUAAGCAACCGACAAAAUAAAGCUGAGCUGCUCAAGAGCUCACGUGGUGGUUUGAGCAGAAUGAGAGUUUGUAAAGGCAGGCUGCUCAGGCCAUUCAGGAUGACCAUAUUGGCAAACAGCUCCAUUAAUCACCACAGUAGAAGGGUUUGAUGACAAAGAUUAAAAGAGUGUAAGAGACACCAGUGAGCCUCAGAUUACUGCAACUGUCAUCAAAUACCCACCAGGACACACACCCCGAGUCCCUUCGUCUCACUAAUACACCAAUACAGCCGACAUCAGCCUCGCUCUGUUUGGCACAGGUUCUACAGUGUUGUAUGGCUUAGCUGUUAGGCUCCACCCCUUGGACGUUUGCUUCUGCAGCGAGGACG